CGAUGCCGUGGCAUUCCCUCACAUCGCCGAUGCGAUGUUGCUGCUUCCUUUCGACGCUGCCGCUGCUUCCCAGUAUGCACCAAUGUACCGUGUGUCGGUACACCGGUACUGGGCGGCACACCGACGUCGACCGAUAAGUCAAACCUUGGUAUACAUUUGAUAUAUUUUAUGAUUUAUGACUUUGGGAAGAUCUCACCAGAGAAUUAACCUCACAUCUCAUCACUUGUAAUGUCACAUUUUCAUAUGUUCGAAGAGACUUGUAUCGAUUUAUAAGGAUUAUAUGAGUCUACUAUAGUUAACUUGAGUUUUAAGUAUCAACAUUGGUUUAUAAGGAUUCAGAUGAUUUUACUAUAGUUGAUUUGUCAAGUUAAUGAGACAGUUAACUCAUCGAGUUAGUCGUGAUAAAUGGCACAAAAAAAUUAUCUUAAAAAAAAUUGGUUAAUGUUAAUUUCAGAUUUUCAGUUUCGAAGGCCCUAAUGGUUCUAAUAGAUAAGAAAUGAGUAGCAAAAGUGUUAACUAAAGUAAUCAGAUUCUUCCAUGUAGCAGACUGGAUUGAUACAGAAUGAUCACUGAGAAAGGUUAUUUGACAUUCAUGAAUCUUCUUAUUUAUGUUCUUGUGGCCAUCACUGCUAACCACAGUGGAACGUGCUUUUAUGGAAGUUUCUCUAAAUAAAGAUGCUGAAACACUUUCAAGCUUGAAAUUUUGAUUACAGCUUCACAGCAGAUACUUCAAGUGUGUUUAAAGGCAGCAAAUACUUCAAGAUUGAGCAGAGUGAUAUCAGCAGAGAAAUAGGAUGGCUGGAUCCAAGCACAGCAUUCUCAUCAACAAGACAGCAACAGCAGUAUAGGUUAGCAAGGCUGCGAAACAAAACAUUCUAGUCAGUGGCGAAGUCAUCAAAAAACCGUACUUAUCUCCGAGAUCCAGCGAGCCAAUCGCCCCAUUCGAUUCAGGGUUGAUUUUGAGCUUUCCAUGAUGGAUUUUUGGUUCGAGGAUCUUGAAGACGGAGGUAUCUGCAUUGGUUCUUCUGGUGUUGGCUUGUGGUGUACAAUCUAUGCAUUUCUUUGUGUCUUCAAGAUGGAGGAUCUUGAAGAUUUUGGGUGGGAGCCGAUAGAAGGUACAAGAUUUGGUGUUGCAUUGGCAGUGCAUUCGGUAGCAUGCUUGCCAAGACUGCCAGGCGAAGUAGUUCACGGUGCUAUGCCUUCAGGCGAAGUAGUUCGUGUGGUUUGCCAUGUCAGUUUGUCGUUCUGCUUCCACAUUUAUGAAGUCCGCCUCUUGUUUUGACUACAAUCUUUUUACUCAGAUUUUUUUAGCAAUUUUAGCUACAUUAGUCUAUCUUUUGAUGCAGAGCAUUAACAAAAUUUAAAAGGUCAAGUGACCAGUUUUUGUAAUUCAUGUAAGUGCUUUGUCUUCAAUACAUGCCUGUAGCCCUGCAGACAACCAGUGGCUUGAUUCUUUCUAUUGGGAAGAUUUAAAAGCUGGUCUACCUCUCUUCUAUUUUUCAGAAAUAAGAUGGUAUCCAAUUGAUCCUCUUGUA